AUUGAACGCUGGCGGCGGGCUUAACACAUGCAAGUCGAACGAGUGGCGGACGGGUGAGUAAUGCUUGGGAAUCUAGCUUAUGGAGGGGGAUAACUACGGGAAACUGUAGCUAAUACCGCGUACCAUAGGAUGAGCCCAAGGGGGAUUAGGUAGUUGGUGGGGUAAAGGGUCACCAAGCCGACGAUCUCUGGCUGGUCUGAGAGGAUGACCAGCGACACUGGGACGGAGACACGGCCCAGACUCCUACGGGAGGCAGCAGUGGGGAAUAUGGCGCAAUGGGCGCAACGUGACGCAGCCAGGCCGCGGAAGUGAAGAAGGCCUUCGGGUUGUAAAGUUCUUUAGGUAGCGAGGCGUUAACUACAGAAGAAGCACCGGCUAACUACGUGCCAGCAGCCGCGGUAAUUC
rnacentral:rRNA from 1 species